rnacentral:rRNA from 1 species
GACGAACCGUGCGAACGUUAUUCGGAAUCACUGGGCUUAAAGGGCGCGUAGGCGGGUCCGUAAGUCAGGGGUGAAAUCCCACGGCCCAACCGUGGAAGUGCCUUUGAUACUGCGGCCCUCGAGGGGGAUAGGGGCGUGCGGAACUCAGGGUGGAGCGGUGAAAUGCGUAGAGAUCGGAAAGAACACCAACGGCGAAAGCACUCUGCUGGGCCGACACUGACACUGAGAGACGAAAGCUAGGGGAGCGAAUGGG